rnacentral:rRNA from 1 species
UACGUAGGGUGCAAGCGUUAUCCGGAAUUAUUGGGCGUAAAAGAGCUCGUAGGCGGUUUUGUCGCGUCUGCUGUGAAAACUGGGAGGCUCAACCUCCAGCCUGCAGUGGGUACGGGCAAACUAGAGUGCGGUAGGGGAGAUUGGAAUUCCUGGUGUAGCGGUGGAAUGCGCAGAUAUCAGGAGGAACACCGAUGGCGAAGGCAGAUCUCUGGGCCGUAACUGACGCUGAGGAGCGAAAGCAUGGGGGAGCGAACAGG